AUGUCUCCCUGUUCCUCCAGAUGCUGGUCAAAUCCCUGGAUCUCAAGCUCAGCCUUCUUCAGGAUCUCACUGGCAAUGAGCUCGGCCAUGUCCAGCAGGACCUGGCUGCCCUCUGAGGGGCUCUGUGGGGCAGGGUCUGGGCUCUCUAUCCAUGAUGCUCUUUCUUGCAUUUCUGCAGCUGUGGUUUGUUCAAGGUCUCCCUGUUUCUCCAGCUGCUGCUCAGAUCCCUGCAUCACAAGUUCAGCCUCACUCAAGAUCUUAGUGGUCAUGAGCUCAGCCAUGUCCAGCAGGGCCUGGCUGCCCUCUGAGGGGCUCUGUGGGGCAGGGAUGGGGUUCUGUGUCUCUGCUGCUCUUUCUUGCAUUUCUGCAGCUGUGCUUUGUCCCAGGUCUUCCUGUUUCUCCAGCUGUUGGUCAGAUCCCUGGAUCACAAGCUCAGCCUCACUCAGGAUCUCAGUGGUGAUGAGCUCAGCCAUGUCCAGCAGGGCCUGGCUGCCCUCUGAGGGGCUCUGUGGGGCAGGGACUGGGCUCUCUAUCCCUGCUGCUUUUUCUUGCAUUUCUGCAGUUGUGCUUUGUUCCAAGUAUCCCUGUUCCUCCAGCUGCUGCUCAGAUCCCUGCAUCACAAGCUCAGCCUUUCUCAGGAUCUCAGGGGUGAUUUGCUGGCCAGUGCCCAGCAGGGCCUGGCUGCCCUCUGAGGGGCUCUGUGGGGCAGGGACUGGGCUCUCUGUCCCUGCUGAUGGCACCAGCUCCCCAAAGCUUGGAGAACCUUCUGCCUUUGUCUCCUCAGGAGCCACAGGCUCCUGGGGCUCCUCCUGCUCAGCAGCUCCAUCUGGGGCAGGAGCUGCUGGCUCAGCCUGCGUGGGACUCAGCGGGGCAGGAGCUGGACUGGGCAGGUCCUGGGCUGCCUCUGCUGCCACCGCUGUGCCCACACUGCUGGGAGAGCUGGGCCUCUCCUGGGGAACAGCCAGGGUGUCCCCAGCACUCAUGGGUUUGUCCCAACUGCUGUAA
rnacentral:lncRNA from 1 species